rnacentral:rRNA from 1 species
AGAGUUUGAUCCUGGCUCAGAACGAACGCUGGCGGCAUGGAUUAGGCAUGCAAGUCGAACGAGGCAGCAAUGCCGAGUGGCGGAAGGGUGAGGAACGCGUGAGUAAUCUGCCCUCAAGUCGGGAAUAACAGUUGGAAACGAUUGCUAAUACCGGAUGUGGUUCAUCUGACGCAUGUUGGAUGGACUAAAGAGUUUCGCUUGAGGAUGAGCUCGCGUCCCAUUAGCUGGUUGGUGAGGUAACGGCCCACCAAGGCGACGAUGGGUAGCUGGUCUGAGAGGAUGGUCAGCCACACUGGGACUGAGACACGGACCAGACUCCUACGGGAGGCAGCAGUGAGGAAUAUUGGUCAAUGGAGGCAACUCUGAACCAGCCAUGCCGCGUGCAGGAUGACGGUCCUAUGGAUUGUAAACUGCUUUUGUACGGGAAGAAAAACUGCUACGUGUAGCACAUUGACGGUACCGUAAGAAUAAGGAUCGGCUAACUCCGUGCCAGCAGCCGCGGUAAUACGGAGGAUCCAAGCGUUAUCCGGAAUCAUUGGGUUUAAAGGGUCCGUAGGCGGUAGAGUAAGUCAGCGGUGAAAGUUUGCAGCUUAACUGUAAAAUUGCCAUUGAUACUGCUUUACUUGAAUUACUUAGAAGUUACUAGAAUAUGUAGUGUAGCGGUGAAAUGCUUAGAUAUUACAUGGAAUACCAAUUGCGAAGGCAGGUAACUAUGAGUUAAUUGACGCUGAUGGACGAAAGCGUGGGUAGCGAACAGGAUUAGAUACCCUGGUAGUCCACGCCGUAAACGACGGAUACUAGCUGUUUGAGCUUCGGUUUGAGUGGCUAAGCGAAAGUGAUAGGUAUCCCACCUGGGGAGUACGCACGCAAGUGUGAAACUCAAAGGAAUUGACGGGGGCCCGCACAAGCGGUGGAGCAUGUGGUUUAAUUCGAUGAUACGCGAGGAACCUUACCAGGGCUUAAAUGUAGAUUGACAGAUUUGGAAACAGAUUUUUCUUCGGACAAUUUACAAGGUGCUGCAUGGUUGUCGUCAGCUCGUGCCGUGAGGUGUCAGGUUAAGUCCUAUAACGAGCGCAACCCCUGUUGUUAGUUGCCAGCGAGUCAUGUCGGGAACUCUAGCAAGACUGCCAGUGUAAACUGUGAGGAAGGUGGGGAUGACGUCAAAUCAUCACGGCCCUUACGUCCUGGGCCACACACGUGCUACAAUGGCCGGUACAGAGAGCAGCCACUUGGCGACAAGGAGCGAAUCUAUAAAGCCGGUCACAGUUCGGAUCGGAGUCUGCAACUCGACUCCGUGAAGCUGGAAUCGCUAGUAAUCGGAUAUCAGCCAUGAUCCGGUGAAUAAAUUCCCGGGCCUUGCACACACCGCCC